UACGUAGGGGGCAAGCGUUGUCCGGAUUUAUUGGGCGUAAAGAGCGUGUAGGCGGCCUGGAAGGUCAGCUGUGAAAACUCGAGGCUCAACCUCGAGACGUCGGUUGAAACCACCUGGCUAGAGUCCGGAAGAGGAGAGUGGAAUUCCCGGUGUAGCGGUGAAAUGCGCAGAUAUCAGGAGGAACACCGAUGGCGAAGGCAGGUCUCUGGGCAUUAACUGACGCUGAGGAGCGAAAGCAUGGGGAGCGAACAGG
rnacentral:rRNA from 1 species